rnacentral:lncRNA from 1 species
UUCUUGCUGUGCAGGUGAAGGUCGGGGCUUGGUUGCGGGGCGAGUUCAUCCCUAAAACCCUAGGGGUUUUUGAAUCUGUUUUGGGCCACAUGUAGUUUGGCCACCGUAUUUUGGUUUAUUUCAGUUUGGGCCAUAUAGGCCCACUUGUAAUUUGGACUGCUUUAUUUUCUUCAUGUAGGCCGGGUAAAAUUUAGGUAUUACAGCUGGUUUAGGACAAAAGAAUAUCUCAAUGUGG